GGGGCGGGGAAGGGAGCAACGGGGAGCCCCGGGGGUGGGGGCGGCUAAGCCCCGCGGCCGGGGUGCCUGCUCCCGCGUGCCACCCGGGGCCAUCAGGAUGACUUGGGCGGCCCCCUUUUAACCGCCCCCCCCCCCCCCCGCCAAAUGGAGGCGGCAGGAGGGUAAGGAGGGGUGAGGACUGGGGUGCAGGAUUUGAGGAGCGGGGGCAGACAGCGUUUGGAGAGCUUCUUCCAGAAACUAUCCGGAACCCAGCGCAGUUUCUGAGAGCGCCCCAAGGGAUUUCUCAAAGAAGGCACCCCAGCAAUUGCUUUUCUUGACGACUUGCUUUUCCUCUGGCGGCACGGAGACCCACAUACCGCUCUAAAGGCGACCACACACCCCAGCACCCAGGCUCGUUGUCGCCCUCCCGCCUGUCCUCCCGCGGAAGGGAGGGGCCCACCCCCAGCGUUGUGGGGCGCGGAUCCUAAAAGGGCGCCUACGUGUACCGCUCCUGGACACCCUCUCCCCCCCCCCCCAGAACGCUUUCUGUAGAGUGGGGUGAAAGUCUGAGGAGGAUCGCUCUGCCACUGGCAAGAACACAAUUUUCCCGUAGCCUUCAUCUGCGCCCUCCUUUUCAUAAUGUCUUGAUUUCCCCUGUGCACCCCCGAGCCGGCUGCAGCACUGGCUCUUGGAGCUUGAAGUGCCCUUUAAGGCUCCUCAGAGCGAACUGCCCUGCCUUCUGGUCGAAGCGCAGGGAGUGGGUUCCACUUGGCAGGGAUUAUUUUAAACUGCUACCUGCAAUUCACGCGACAUCCGACACCGGUAGCCCAGCCCGCGCGGUGCCCGCCAGAGGCGAAACAGUGUCAGUUCUGAAAAACACUGAGACCAAGGACUCAGCAAGGCUUGGAAAUGGUUUGUUAUAGGAUAUGAGAAUGGAGAAAAGUUUGCGGAUGUGAGCAGAGAGAAGAACCUGGCUUCAUUCCAGCAAGAGCCAAUUCCUCAGGGAGUUGUUGAAAAUACCUUCUAGAAGCAUCACAGCAACAGAACAACUAUUUUGUUAAUUAUUUUCUCCAACGUUACUGUAUCUAUUUCCUGUGUUCUCUAUCUAAAAUCCCUUUAAAGUCUGUUGACUGAACCAGUUGGAGAAAUAUCACAUUUUAAAUUAAAUUUGAGCUUAGAAAACAAA